rnacentral:lncRNA from 1 species
UGAAAUUAGGAAGACCUAAGGAUAGAAGGAACAUACAAAAUGGGAAAAUUCUGAAAUACCCAAGAUUCAAGACCAGAAAAAUAAUAGUAAAUGUUUGACAUUAAAAAAAAUUCUUCAUAUAUAUAAUAUGUUUAUAUGGUUAUCUCUUGGGGAAUAUAUUUGGGAUACUGGUGUUUUACUUUCUGGCUUAUCCAAAGAUUAUAUUUAAGAUAAAUGGUAACUGUCAUCUCGUUAGCUGAAUUGAAUAUUGUGAACUUCCAGAGAAUAGAAACAGACACCCCAAAAGACUUUUAGCACUUAAAACAUUUUAGGUAGAAAUCAUAGUCAGCUCUUCUUUAUUUAGGACUACGUGGUCCAGUUAGUGGAUUGCAAUGCCUUACUCAUACUGCAAAGCAGGAACCUCACCAUGGAAAUGUUUCAUUGCCAGGGAGGAAGAUGGAAUCACUAGGUAAAAUGUGUUUGGGGGGGAUUAUUUAUUGAUUCCAGGUUUCUGUGCUUUUUUUAGAGCUUGUUAGUAUGUUAGAGUCUCACGAGAUGACCAUAUAUAAGUGCUCUGUUUUUAAACAAACAGGUGUCAAUAGCAAUAGUUAUGAUGGGGGACAAGUCAAAAGCUGCUAUUUUUAUAGCUCUCCAGGCAGAAUUUCUCCUUUUUUUGCCUUUUAGUUUUACUAUCUGAUAAAGAGAAGGUGUUAGAGGGAGGAGUUGGUAGGAAAGGACUAAUUCUCACCAACAGUAGAGGUAAGUUCUUUAACUGCAGAACCUUUACAUACUUCAGGUGGAUUCAUUUUGUGUAGCAGGAAUUCUUGAUGUUUCUGCCCGCUCUCAGUGAGUGUCCCCACUGUGAUUGGAUGGGGCAUUGCCACACCUCCUUCCAUGUCUAUGUGGAAGCCCCUUGCAGAGGACACCGAUGGCUCCUGCCACCCAUAUCUGUCAGCUUUCAUUCAUUUUUCUGCUCAUGCUGCUGUUUGCUGUACCUCCCCUGUUUUUCCAUCUUGUUGACAGCUUGUAAAGAAUAAAGCAGGAAUUCUUUUUAUAUCUGAAUCCUUAAUGAUCAGAUGAAUUACAAACAAACAAAAACAGUUGUAAAUAGCAAUUGAAGUGUUACUAGAAAAACAGUCAUGUGCCUGUUAACCUAUAGUCUUUUUCUU